GGCUGCAUCCACAGACAACUCCUACGAGCACGCCGCGUGAGUGAUAAGGCCUCGGGUUGUAACGCCCUUUUGCUGGGGAAGAAUAAGCUGUGGGAGGGAAUGCCCGCCUGCUUACAUGAACCGGCGAAAUGAACCCCCGGCAAAAAUCUCUGCCCGCAGCCCCGGGAAAUAAAAA
rnacentral:rRNA from 1 species